GAUGAGCGCUAGCGGGAGGCCUAACACAUGCAAGCCGAGCGGUAGAGUUUCUUCGGAAACUUGAGAGCGGCGCACGGGUGCGUAACACGUGUGCAACCUACCUUUAUCUGGGGGAUAGCCUUUCGAAAGGAAGAUUAAUACCCCAUAAUAUAAUGAUUGGCAUCAAUUAUUAUUGAAAACUCCGGUGGAUAGAGAUGGGCACGCGCAAGAUUAGAUAGUUGGUGAGGUAACGGCUCACCAAGUCAAUGAUCUUUAGGGGUCCUGAGAGGGAGAUCCCCCACACUGGUACUGAGACACGGACCAGACUCCUACGGGAGGCAGCAGUGAGGAAUAUUGGACAAUGGGUGAGAGCCUGAUCCAGCCAUCCCGCGUGAAGGAUGACGGUCCUAUGGAUUGUAAACUUCUUUUGUACAGGGAUAACCUACCCUCGUGAGGGUAGCUGAAGGUACUGUACGAAUAAGCACCGGCUAACUCCGUG
rnacentral:rRNA from 1 species